rnacentral:rRNA from 1 species
GAUGAACGCUGGCGGCGUGCCUAAUACAUGCAAGUCGAGCGAACAGACGAGGAGCUUGCUCCUCUGACGUUAGCGGCGGACGGGUGAGUAACACGUGGAUAACCUACCUAUAAGACUGGGAUAACUUCGGGAAACCGGAGCUAAUACCGGAUAAUAUAUUGAACCGCAUGGUUCAAUAGUGAAAGACGGUUUUGCUGUCACUUAUAGAUGGAUCCGCGCCGCAUUAGCUAGUUGGUAAGGUAACGGCUUACCAAGGCAACGAUGCGUAGCCGACCUGAGAGGGUGAUCGGCCACCCUGGAACUGAGACACGGUCCAGACUCCUACGGGAGGCAGCAGUAGGGAAUCUUCCGCAAUGGGCGAAAGCCUGACGGAGCAACGCCGCGUGAGUGAUGAAGGUCUUCGGAUCGUAAAACUCUGUUAUUAGGGAAGAACAAAUGUGUAAGUAACUAUGCACGGCUUGACGGUACCUAAUCAGAAAGCCACGGCUAACUACGUG